rnacentral:lncRNA from 1 species
GAAAAUUCUAAGUUUCUAUAUAUAAAGUUACUUAAAACUUAAUUUAAAAGGUUAGCUUACCUUUAGAGCUUAAGUAUAUAUAAGAGCUGAGUGUAAAAUUGACAAAAUAAUUAUUGAGUAUUCAAAUUCAAUAAGUAAUACAGAAAUACAAUCUGUUGAAGGAAAAGUAAUUAAUUCAUGAUAUAUUUGAUGUGUUGGAUUAGACUGUAUAUGCCCUUCAAUAAUUGGUUGAUGUUGGAUUGAAAGUAUUAAAUAAUAAAGAGGAAAAAAAUAUUUAUUGUACAUGCAUUGCUAUGUACCUAACAUGAAAGACAGUAUUAAAUUAUUAUUUUCAGUACCAAAGAAAUUAAAUUAGAUUAAUUACCAAAAAUAAUUACUAAGAAUUUUUUUUUUCGAGGACUGCAACGAAAAUCAGAUUAUAAUUAAAGACACCCUUAAAUCUCUGUCAUUAAUCAAAAUUUCAAAAUUUCACAUAUGAUGUCAUAAAACACAGAUUUUGAAUUUCAGUAUUGUAUAUAUGAUGUCAUAAAAAAUCAAUAACCGUAUAUCGAUUCCAUUAGUCAAAACAUCAAAAAUUGAUAGAUUUUGAGUAAAAUAGAGCUUUCAAUAAUGAUUUUUCAAGAAUGUGGUUAAAAAGUAGAGAAAAUUUUCAAUUUACGUGCAAAAUAUUUUAUUGUAUAAAUGUAUUAUUAAAAAUGAAUAUGUACGGAAAAAAUUUGAAAUAAUAGCUGUCAAGCAAGGGCUUUAAAAAUACAGAAAUUGAUAUAUGAUAUCACAAAAACAUAAAUUGAUUUUUAAGAACAAUAAAUAUCCAAAAUAAGUGCUGGAAAAUUAAUGCGGUUUUUAAUGAACAUAUUCAUAUGAAAUAUUUGAUUAAUAAACUAAUGAGGUCGCUAUAUUGUCUAAUUGUGUUCGCUUCUAAGACAAAAUAACUCCUUAAUUGAUUUCCAAUAAAAAAAAUAUUUAAAAUCUUGCAAUCACAAAAUCUACACUAUUGUUGGCCUCUUGCCCCUAAAUUGUAGCCUCAAACGUUAAGAAUCAAGUAAAAAUGGGGAUUUAUAAAGUUUCUUUCUUUGCUAUAGCCAGUGGCGAAUCCAAGACCGGAGGUCAAUUAGGACAGCUGACUAUUGAUCGUUGAUCGUUAACAAUCAACGAUACCAUUUAUUAAUAUUUAAUUAAAUAAUAUUAAAAAUUCUUCAUAUAUAUGUAAAUGCACUAACACAUGAAAAUUCUAUACAUAUGAAAAUAUAAUCAGCAAAAUAUGUAAAUGCAUUGACACAUUUCAUAAUCUGUAUAAUGCACCAAUUUAUUUUUCAAUUAAAAUUGAUUAAAAAACCGAGUAUACAUGGUUGAAUUGAGCUUAACAUAUUCUCUAUUAAUUUUUUUCACUUAUCCCUAAUUUUCUAAACCUAAAUUCCCAAAUCAUAAAUCACAAAUCAUAAAUGAUAAAUUAUAACUCAUACAACAUAAAUUAUUUAUCAUAAAUCACAAAUUCACAAUUCUCAUUUCUUUGUCAAUUAAAUUAUCGCAUAAAACAUGAAUCAUAAAUUCAUAACUAAUAAAUAAAACCCUAAACUGAAUUAUGUGAUUAUGUGAACUGUGAAGUGUGAUUGUGUGUGAAAACAGAUGACCAGUGGCCACAAUAAAACAAAAAAAAAAAAAAAACGAAAUUCCACAGAGAAUAACAGGGGAGAAGGCACUCAACAAGAAGUCGCACCACCGCUUUGCAGCUUUGCUGGCGGGGUGGCAGUAGAGGUAAUGCCUAGUGGACCAAUUUUGGGGAAUAAUCUGGGUUACCGGGUAUAUGGAGAAAGCUCAUUUCGGCUUUUUUAAAAUGAGCUAACAAUAAUGUUGGUGCCAUGAUCCAACACCCAGUCCAGCAGUGCCGACCCAACACCCAACGAAAUUUGAAACUGUAGUGCUGACCCAACACCCAAGCCAACAGGCAACGACCAACUAAAUCGGAAAAAGAAAC